GGCCAGACUCCUACGGGAGGCAGCAGUGGGGGAUAUUGCACAAUGGGGGGAACCCUGAUGCAGCGACGCCGCGUGGGUGAAGAAGCGCCUCGGCGCGUAAAGCCCUGUCAGCAGGGAAGAAAAUGACGGUACCUGAAGAAGAAGCCCCGGCUAACUACGUGCCAGCAGCCGCGGUAAUACGUAGGGGGCAAGCGUUAUCCGGAUUUACUGGGUGUAAAGGGGGCGCAGACGGCGAUGCAAGCCAGGAGUGAAAGCCCGGGGCCCAACCCCGGGACUGCUCUUGGAACUGCGUGGCUGGAGUGCAGGAGGGGCAGGCGGAAUUCCUGGUGUAGCGGUGAAAUGCGUAGAUAUCAGGAGGAACACCGGUGGCGAAGGCGGCCUGCCGGACUGCAACUGACGUUGAGGCCCGAAAGCGUGGGGAGCAAACAGGAUUAGAUACCCCCGUAA
rnacentral:rRNA from 1 species